rnacentral:rRNA from 1 species
AUUGAACGCUGGCGGCAUGCCUUACACAUGCAAGUCGAACGGCAGCACGGGAGCAAUCCUGGUGGCGAGUGGCGAACGGGUGAGUAAUAUAUCGGAACGUGCCCAGUCGUGGGGGAGUAACGUAGCGAAAGACUACGCUAAUACCGCAUACAAUACUAUGGAUGAAAGACGGGGGAGUCGCAAGACCUCGCGCGAUUGGAGCGGCCGAUAUCAGAUUAGGUAGUUGGUGGGGUAAAAGGACCUACCAAGCCUUCGAUCUGUAGCUGGUCUGAGAGGACGACCAGCCACACUGGAACUGAGACACGGUCCAGACUCCUACGGGAGGGCAGCAGUGGGGAAGUUUU